rnacentral:rRNA from 1 species
CAGUAGCCACGGUAAUACGUAGGUCCCGAGCGUUGUCCGGAUUUAUUGGGCGUAAAGCGAGCGCAGGCGGUUAGAUAAGCCUGAAGUUAAAGGCUGUGGCUUAACCGUGGAAUUGCAUUGGAAACUGUCCAACUUGAAUGCAGAAGAGGAAAGCGGAAUUCCAUGUGUAGCGGUGAAAUGCGUAGAUAUAUGGAGGAACACCAGUGGCGAAGGCGGCUUUCUGGUCUGUGAUUGACGCUGAGGCUCGAAAGCGUGGGGAGCGAACAGGAUUAGAUACCCCUGUAGUCCCUGUCUCUUAUAC